GGCUUAGAACAUUGAACUCUUUAGCCAGCAUUGAUUGGAUCUACUCUAUCUGACACCGGAGAAAGAAUUCCAGGAUGAGUUUUGAUUUCCAUUCCUGAAGGGAGUAACCAAAUCAAAGAGAAGAUCCGAAGAUCCAUAGAUCCCAUGGAAUCCUGGGGGAACCCUGUAAUAAUAGAAAAUUUAGAAUGGAGGUUUCGGCUGCAAAAAAAAUCCCAUACUUAACAAAGGUCAACUGAGGCACUACUGAUGUACCAGUGAGCAAUCUUCCUAGCAGAAAAGCUCCUUCCCAAAUGAAGGCAUGGCAAGCUGAGCAGUGCAUCCCAGUGAAGAGAUUAAUCGGCCAGUUGUUGCCUCACAAACAAUCUUUCUUAAUGGAUGAUGCCCCCCAAAAGUGGCACAGAUUUGAUAGAUCUGUUAACAUUUUUCAAAUGGCCUGCCGCACACUUAUUCCAGUUUCUCUUAUUAAUAAGACAAUUACCAGUUUGGGUAAUACAUUUAAAGAAGAGGCUUUCCCUCAACUCUGCUAAAAAAUAUACUUUACAGCUGUCACAGGGAGACGCUUCAUAAUGAUACCCAGGAGCAAAAUCUCUCCAAAUACCACAGGAAAAACUCAAGGGAAAGGAAAAAGUAGUAGCAAUAGGGUGAGUCUCUUAAUGCGACACUGAGAUGCAAGCUGGUUCCUUGGAGUCGGAUCCUGAAGAGGUGCCCCCUUGGAAUUAGGAGGCAUUCAUAGCCAGGGGCAUGUCUUGACACAGUUAUUUCUGAGUAGCCUGGAGAGAAGCUCAUGCUAUUGAGAACACACGGAUCAUAAAAGGGUAACAAAGGGAGUCAGUUCAUUCAUUCGUGCCUGUACAAGUGAAGAAAUAAAUUGUACUUUCUCUUGAGGAAGGGACUGGAUUUCCUGCUAGAGAACUACCAGAUGAUUUUUGGAGUCUUGGGAAGCCACGUGAGCUUGAUAAUACUGUUUAAGGAGACAAACUCGACAAUCUUGAAUGAAUGUAGGAUUUGUGCUGUCUGUCCGGUGUACUCUCCAUCAUUUCCUGUGAUGGCCCCACUGGACAUCUGCAUGUUGAUUUCAUCUGCAUGCCCAAGUCUGGUUAAGGUAAAGUCUUCCUUCAUCUUACUUGUUGGGAUAAAGCCUUCUCUACAACUUGGCAAGAUAAACUCUGAAAUAAACCUAGUUAUCCUCCUUUUAUCUAUAGGACACACCAGUGGGGUAAAUUAUUGCACAUAAAUGAGGCAUGAAAAGGAGGCACAGUGGAGGGGAAGAUGGGGGAUGUGGAGAGAAGAGCAGGGCAUCUUACUCUCAUCAAAAUUGGCUCAAGGAGGGAAGAAUAUCCACAAUCCAUUGGGUAUUGAAAGCCCUCUUACCCUACAGGCAAGUAGAAGAAGUGGCCAAGAGAAAGGGGAUGGGGCUGAUGGAAAAGAGGACAAAUUGGGGGAAGCUGAGGCCAGAAACUAAGGUUCAAAUAGGAUGUAAAGUCUUACAUAGGAAUCAUAAUGGUGCAAAAAGCUUUUACAAAUCUCUCUGAUAAAGACCUCAUUUCUCAAAUAUAUAGAGAAAUGAGUUGAAUGUAUAAGAAUACAAUCCACUCCCCAAUUGCUAAUUUUGCGUGUUGCUCAAGGUUAGGACCCUCUGUGCUGCCUCUGGGACCAUUUUGCCCUGGUGCGUGCACACCCUCUCCCUGUGCUGUGAUGUUCUGCACAGCCACUCCUGGAUGGAUCCCAUCCCUUGUGCCUUCCAUAGAGUUAUUGUCUGUCUCCCUAUACUGGCCUGGGCUAGAAGAAUGAUUUGUGCUUUUUAACCCUAGAUUUCUUAUCCAGGAUUUGGUCAGAUCUAUUCUCCAGUUCUCAACUAAACUAGGUUAAUCUCAAUUAAAGCUCUCUAUAGUCAUGCAAAAAUUCUCUAAAUUACUAUUAAUUAGAGAAAUGCACAUGAAAAUAACCCUGAGGUCCCAGCCAAUGCCUAUCACAUUGACUUAUGACAGAAAAGGAAAAUGACAAAACUUGAAGGGAAUAUAGGAAAGCUGGGACACAAAUUGUUGGAGAGUUGUGAACUGAUUUAUAUUCAAGAGAGCAAUUUGAACCUAUGCCCAAUGGGCUAUAAAACAUAACUUUUGGCCCAACAAAACCAUUACUAGUACCCCCCCAAAUUAAAAAGGUUUAAAAAAAGAGAAACUGAGGCAGACUAGAGCUGCAUAUGAGCAGAUAGAAUUAGAUGCUUCAAAUUCUUCUAUCUAUGAGACCUCCAAACCACAGGGUCUCAACUGCUAGCUGUGAUGACAUCCAGAGCUGGCUUAGGGACCCAGAAGUCCCCAGAUCCCAGCUGUCUUUGAGAAGACAACCCUCUUUUUUAAGUAACUCACUCCCUUCUCACUUUCCCUCCUGAAAGGGCAAAGAUUUGGAAAGUGAGGCAUUACCCAUCAAAUGGGGAUGGCUGAGUAAGUUAGAGUAUAUGAUUGUAAUGGAAUACUAUUGUGCUUUAAGAAAUGACAAGUAGGAGAACUUGGACCUGGAAAACCUUACAAGUGAAGUGAAGAAAGCAGAACCAAGAGAACAUUGUACUCAGUGACAAGAACACUUUACGAUGAACAACUGUGAAUAAUAGCUCUUCUCAGAAACACAGUGACCCAAAACUAUACCAAUGGACUCAUGAUUUUAAAAAAAGUCUGUGUAUUUUCAUAGAAAAAGAAGAGUCUGAAUCCAGACCAAAGAAAACUUUUUUCCCUUUCUUAAUAUUUUUUUAUUUAAGUUUCUUUCCACAAAAGAAUUAAUAUUGAAAAAUGUUUUACAUGAUUGCACAUGUAAAAUCUAUGAGAUUGCUUACCAUCUCUAGGGGUGGGAGUAGGGGUUGGAGGGGAUAGAGGGAGGGAGAGAAUCUGAGACUCACUAUUCUUUGAAAAAUGUGAGAAACUGGUUUUUUUUACAUGUAACUGGGGGAAAAUAAAAUUUAAAAUGUGAUAUAUGGAAAAAGCCA
rnacentral:lncRNA from 1 species